AUGGGUCAAGAUGGUAUCAAGAGUGCAUAUAAAAGGUCAGCCACGUCAUCUGAGCCUCCCCCACCACCACAGCCCCCCACCUAUCACGCUUCAGUCGUGCUCCUGGACACCCCUCGGACCCGUGAGCGCUCACCAUACCCUCUGCGGGGCAGUGUGGUCCCGAGCCUACUGCCCACUCGCUGGAGGACAGCCUUCUGAGCAACAGUGUGGGCUUCACAGGGCCGCAUCUACAAAGGAGUCUGCAAAUGUUUCUGAUGAUCCCAAGGCCCUGGCUUCAUUACCCCUGCCGAUCUUCCUGCAGGUCUCUGACGUGGAAGGGGAAUAUGUCUCAGGUGAAGGCGAUGAGAUCACCUAUAAGAUGUACUCCAUCCCGCCCAAGAAUGAGAAGCUGCAGGCCGUGGAGGUUGUCAUUACCCACCUGGCACCAGGCACCAAGCAUGAGACCUGGUCCGGGCAUGUCAUCAGCUCCUAGGAGACGCUGGAAGCGCCCCUUCUCCUGUGCCUUUGAGAGACUUUGCAGGGAGUAGGUGGCAGACACUGGAGAUGACAUUCUUCCAUAGGAGAAGGGGCUUCGUCGGGGCAUGGCCCCUUUCAAGUAUCUCCUGGAGGAAGGGGUAUGGGGGGCAGGCAUGGGGUGCCCCUGGCCACCAGCACAGCCUCUGACCAUGGCAACAAUGUCUCACCAUCUGAAGAGCAUUAAAAGCAUUUAAAAAGGAAAAAAAAAAAAA